UACACUCCUGCGGGAGGCAGCAGUGGGGAAUAUUGCACAAUGGGCGCAAGCCUGAUGCAGCCAUGCCGCGUGUAUGAAGAAGGCCUUCGGGUUGUAAAGUACUUUCAGCGGGGAGGAAGGCGAUAAGGUUAAUAACCUUGUCGACUGACGUUACCCGCAGAAGAAGCCCCGGCUAACUCCGUGCCAGCAGCCGCGGUAUUACGGAGGGUGCAAGCGUUAAUCGGAAUUACUGGGCGUAAAGCGCACGCAGGCGGUCUGUCAAGUCGGAUGUGAAAUCCCCGGGCUCAACCUGGGAACUGCAUUCGAAACUGGCAGGCUAGAGUCUUGUAGAGGGGGGUAGAAUUCCAGGUGUAGCGGUGAAAUGCGUAGAGAUCUGGAGGAAUACCGGUGGCGAAGGCGGCCCCCUGGACAAAGACUGACGCUCAGGUGCGAAAGCGUGGGGAGCAAACAGGAUUAGAAACCCGUGUAGUCCC
rnacentral:rRNA from 1 species